CACGUAGGGGGCAAGCGUUGGUCCGGAUUUAUUGGGCGUAAAGAGCUCGUAGGCGGUUCGCUAAGUCGGGUGUGAAACCUCCAGGCUCAACCGUGGAGACCGCCACCCGAUACUGGUGUGACUCGAGUCCGGUAGGGGAGCGUGGAAUUCCUGGUGUAGCGGUGAAAUGCGCAGAUAUCAGGAGGAACACCGGUGGCGAAGGCGGUUCUCUGGGCAUUACCUGACGCUGAGGAGCGAAAGUGUGGGGAGCGAACAGG
rnacentral:rRNA from 1 species